UGCUUCUCUGGAUGAGUUGCGAACGGGUGAGUAACGCGUAGGUAACCUGCCUGGUAGCGGGGGAUAGCUAUUGGAAACGAUAGCUAAUACCGCAUAAUAGUAGAUGUUGCAUGACAUUUACUUAAAAGGUGCAAUUGCAUCACUACCAGAUGGACCUGCGUUGUAUUAGCUAGUUGGUGGGGUAACGGCUCACCAAGGCGACGAUACAUAGCCGACCUGAGAGGGUGAUCGGCCACACUGGGACUGAGACACGGCCCAGACUCCUACGGGAGGCAGCAGUAGGGAAUCUUCGGCAAUGGACGGAAGUCUGACCGAGCAACGCCGCGUGAGUGAAGAAGGUUUUCGGAUCGUAAAGCUCUGUUGUAAGAGAAGAACGAGUGUGAGAGUGGAAAGUUCACACUGUGACGGUAUCUUACCAGAAAGGGACGGCUAACUACGUGCCAGCAGCCGCGGUAAUACGUAGGUCCCGAGCGUUGUCCGGAUUUAUUGGGCGUAAAGCGAGCGCAGGCGGUUAGAUAAGUCUGAAGUUAAAGGCUGUGGCUUAACCAUAGUACGCUUUGGAAACUGUUUAACUUGAGUGCAAGAGGGGAGAGUGGAAUUCCAUGUGUAGCGGUGAAAUGCGUAGAUAUAUGGAGGAACACCGGUGGCGAAAGCGGCUCUCUGGCUUGUAACUGACGCUGAGGCUCGAAAGCGUGGGGAGCAAACAGGAUUAGAUAACCUGGUAGUCCACGCCGUAAACGAUGAGUGCUAGGUGUUAGACCC
rnacentral:rRNA from 1 species